GCUUGAGCACGUAGGUGGGUUUGUAAGUCAGGUGUGAAGGCCUUCUGUUCAACGGGAGAAUUGCAUCUGAAACUACGAAUCUUGAGAGUAGGAGGGGAGAAUGGAACUUCUGGUGGAGCGGUGAAAUGCGUAGAUAUCAGAAGGAACGCCGGCGGCGAAAGCGAUUCUCUGGCCUAUUACUGACACUCAGUGUGCGAAAGCUAGGGGAGCAAACGGGAUUAGAUACCCCGGUAGUCCUAGCCGUAAACGAUGGGCACUAAGUAGAGGGGAUUACCGACGUUCUCUCUGCCGUAGCUAACGCAUUAAGUGCCCCGCCUGGGGAGUACGGCCGCAAGGCUAAAACUCAAAAGAAUUGACGGGGGCUCGCACAAGCGGUGGAGCAUGUGGCUUAAUUCGAUGCAACGCGAAGAACCUUACCGGGGCUUGACAUGGUAGAAGUAGGAACCCGAAAGGGUAACGAACGGUAUCCAGUCCGUGACUAUCACAGGUGUUGCAUGGCUGUCGUCAGCUCGUGUCGUGAGACGUUGGGUUAAGUCCCCUAACGAGCGAAACCCUUGUUUUUAGUUACCAGCGGGUUAUGCCGGGUACUCUAGAAAGACUGCCGUCGUCAAGACGGAGGAAGGUGGGGAUGACGUCAAGUCAUCAUGGCCCUUAUGCCCCGGGCUGCACACGUGCUACAAUGGUCGGUACAAACGGAAGCGAAGCCGAGAGGUGAAGCGAAUCCAAGC
rnacentral:rRNA from 1 species